AGUGGCGAACGGUGAGUAACACGUGGGUAACCUGCCCAGAAGUAGGGGAUAACACCUGGAACAGAUGCUAAUACCGUAUAACAGAGAAAACCGCAUGGUUUUCUUUUAAAAGAUGGCUCUGCUAUCACUUCUGGAUGGACCCGCGGCGUAUUAGCUAGUUGGUGAGGUAAAGGCUCACCAAGGCAGUGAUACGUAGCCGACCUGAGAGGGUAAUCGGCCACAUUGGGACUGAGACACGGCCCAGACUCCUACGGGAGGCAGCAGUAGGGAAUCUUCCACAAUGGACGCAAGUCUGAUGGAGCAACGCCGCGUGAGUGAAGAAGGGUUUCGGCUCGUAAAGCUCUGUUGUUAAAGAAGAACGUGGGUAAGAGUAACUGUUUACCCAGUGACGGUAUUUAACCAGAAAGCCACGGCUAACUACGUGCCAGCAGCCGCGGUAAUACGUAGGUGGCAAGCGUUAUCCGGAUUUAUUGGGCGUAAAGCGAGCGCAGGCGGUCUUUUAAGUCUAAUGUGAAAGCCUUCGGCUCAACCGAAGAAGUGCAUUGGAAACUGGGAGACUUGAGUGCAGAAGAGGACAGUGGAACUCCAUGUGUAGCGGUGAAAUGCGUAGAUAUAUGGAAGAACACCAGUGGCGAAGGCGGCUGUCUGGUCUGCAACUGACGCUGAGGCUCGAAAGCAUGGGUAGCGAACAGGAUUAGAUACCCUGGUAGUCCAUGCCGUAAACGAUGAUUACUAAGUGUUGGAGGGUUUCCGCCCUUCAGUGCUGCAGCUAACGCAUUAAGUAAUCCGCCUGGGGAGUACGACCGCAAGGUUGAAACUCAAAAGAAUUGACGGGGGCCCGCACAAGCGGUGGAGCAUGUGGUUUAAUUCGAAGCUACGCGAAGAACCUUACCAGGUCUUGACAUCUUCUGACAGUCUAAGAGAUUAGAGGUUCCCUUCGGGGACAGAAUGACAGGUGGUGCAUGGUUGUCGUCAGCUCGUGUCGUGAGAUGUUGGGUUAAGUCCCGCAACGAGCGCAACCC
rnacentral:rRNA from 1 species